AUUGAACGCUGGCGGCAGGCCUAACACAUGCAAGUCUAGCGGAUGAAGGUAGCUUGCUCCUGUAUUCAGCGGCGGACGGGUGAGUAAUGCCUAGGAAUCUGCCUUGUAGUGGGGGAUAACGUCCGGAAACGGCCGCUAAUACCUCAUACGUCCUGAGGGAGAAAUUGGGGGAUUUUCGGACCUCGCGCUUUCAGAUGAGCCUAGGUUGGAUUAGCUAGUUGGUGGGGUAAAGGCCUACCAAGGCGACGAUCCGUAACUGGUCUGAGAGGAUGAUCAGUCAGACUGGAACUGAGACACGGUCCAGACUCCUACGGGAGGCAGCAGUGGGGAAUAUUGGACAAUGGGCGAAAGCCUGAUCCAGCCAUGCCGCGUGUGUGAAGAAGGUCUUCGGAUUGUAAAGCACUUUAAGUUGGGAGGAAGGGCAGUAAGAUAAUACCUUGCUAUAUUGACGUUACCAACAGAAUAAGCACCGGCUAACUUCGUG
rnacentral:rRNA from 1 species